rnacentral:rRNA from 1 species
UACAGAGGGGGCAAGCGUUGUUCGGAAUUACUGGGCGUAAAGGGCGCGUAGGCGGCCGCCUAAGUCAGACGUGAAAGCCCACGGCUCAACCGUGGAGGGUCAUUGGAAACUGGGGGACUUGAGUGCAGAAGAGGAGAGCGGAAUUCCAGGUGUAGCGGUGAAAUGCGUAGAUAUCUGGAGGAACACCGGUGGCGAAGGCGGCAUCCUGGACCGGUAUUGACGCUGAGGCGCGAAAGCUAGGGGAGCAAACGGG